GACGAACGCUGGCGGCGUGCCUAAUACAUGCAAGUAGAACGCUGAAGGAGGAGCUUGCUCUUCUGGAUGAGUUGCGAACGGGUGAGUAACGCGUAGGUAACCUGCCUGGUAGCGGGGGAUAACUAUUGGAAACGAUAGCUAAUACCGCAUAACAGUAGAUGUUGCAUGACAUUUGCUUAAAAGGUGCAAUUGCAUCACUACCAGAUGGACCUGCGUUGUAUUAGCUAGUUGGUGGGGUAACGGCUCACCAAGGCGACGAUACAUAGCCGACCUGAGAGGGUGAUCGGCCACACUGGGACUGAGACACGGCCCAGACUCCUACGGGAGGCAGCAGUAGGGAAUCUUCGGCAAUGGACGGAAGUCUGACCGAGCAACGCCGCGUGAGUGAAGAAGGUUUUCGGAUCGUAAAGCUCUGUUGUAAGAGAAGAACGAGUGUGAGAGUGGAAAGUUCACACUGUGACGGUAUCUUACCAGAAAGGGACGGCUAACUACGUG
rnacentral:rRNA from 1 species